rnacentral:rRNA from 1 species
UCCGUAGGUGAACCUGCGGAGGGAUCAUUACUGAGUUCUAUAACUCCCACCCUAUGUGAACAUACUAUAGUUGCCUCGGCGAGGCCUUAGGGCUUCGCCGGUGGACCACUAAACUCUGAUUUAUCCACUGUAUCUCUGAAUUUAGUAACGAAAUACGUUAAAACUUUCAACAACGGAUCUCUUGGUUCUGGCAUCGAUGAAGAACGCAGCGAAAUGCGAUAAGUAAUGUGAAUUGCAGAAUUCAGUGAAUCAUCGAAUCUUUGAACGCACAUUGCGCCCAUUAGUAUUCUGAUGGGCAUGCCUAUUCGAGCGUCAUUUCAACCCUUACGCCCUGUAGCGUAGUGUUGGGAAUCUACCGACAGAUAGUUCCUCAAAUCGAUUGGCGGAGUUAGUGCAUACUCUAGGCGUAGUAAUACCAUUCUCGCUUCUGUAGUAGUGCUAGCGGCNGGCCACUAAACCCCCUAUACUUCUAGUGGUUGACCUCGGAUUAGGUAGGAAU